rnacentral:tRNA from 1 species
ACGCUGGUGGUUCAGGGGUAGAAUUCUCACCUUCCAUGCAGGAGAUCUGGGUUUGGCUCCUGGCCAGUGUA